AUCCUUUUGGGGUUGAUAGGUGUGAUGAUUGGGUUUCUAUGCCAUGUGUGUGACAUGUGCUUCCCUCAAAGCUUGUUACCACAUCCGUACAGCACCCAUAGGAUG
rnacentral:snoRNA from 1 species